rnacentral:rRNA from 1 species
UACGUAGGGUGCGAGCGUUAAUCGGAAUUACUGGGCGUAAAGCGUGCGCAGGCGGUUCGCCAAGUCAGGUGUGAAAUCCCCGGGCUCAACCUGGGAACUGCGCUUGAAACUGCCUGGCUAGAGUUUGAGAGAGGGAAGUGGAAUUCCACAUGUAGCGGUGAAAUGCGUAGAUAUGUGGAGGAACAUCAGUGGCGAAGGCGGCUUCCUGGCUUAAAACUGACACUGUGGCGCGAAAGCGUGGGUAGCAAACAGG